rnacentral:miRNA from 1 species
UCAUUGCUUCUCGGCCUUUUGGCUAAGAUCAAGUG